rnacentral:rRNA from 1 species
GACGAACGCUGGCGGCGUGCUUAACACAUGCAAGUCGAACGAGUGGCGAACGGGUGAGUAACACGUGGGUGAUCUGCCUUGCACUUCGGGAUAAGCUUGGGAAACUGGGUCUAAUACCGGAUAGUGCAAGAUGAGCUCUCGGCCUAUCAGCUGGUUGGUGGGGUGAUGGCUACAAAGGCGUGACGGGUAUCCGGCCUGAGAGGAUGAUCAGCCACACUGGGACUGAGACACGGCCCAGACUCCUACGGGAGGCAGCAGUGGGGAAUAUUGCACAAUGGGCGCAAGCCUGAUGCAGCCAUGCCGCGUGUAUGAAGAAGGCCUUAGGUUGGUAAAGUACUUUCAGCGGGGAGGCGUUACCCGCAGAAGAAGCACCGGCUAACUCCGUGCCAGCCGCCGCGGUAAUAC